CACGUAGGGUGCGAGCGUUGUCCGGAAUUAUUGGGCGUAAAGAGCUCGUAGGCGGUGUGUCGCGUCGGCCGUGAAAACCUGCAGCUUAACUGUGGGCUUGCGGUCGAUACGGGCAUCACUGGAGUUCGGCAGGGGAGACUGGAAUUCUCGGUGUAGCGGUGAAAUGCGUAGAUAUCGAGAGGAACACCUGCGGCGAAGGCGGGUUGCUGGGCUGACACUGACGCUGAUUGUGCGAAAGCUAGGGGAGCGAACGGG
rnacentral:rRNA from 1 species